GGUUAAAUAACAUAAAUGGUUAAUGUAUUAAAUUGCAAAUUUAAUUAUAUGGGUUCGAGACCGGUUUUAACUUUUUAACCUGGA
rnacentral:tRNA from 1 species